rnacentral:rRNA from 1 species
CCUACGGGAGGGUUGCAGUGGGGAAUAUUGGACAAUGGGCGAAAGCCUGAUCCAGCCAUGCCGCGUGUGUGAAGAAGGCCUUCGGGUUGUAAAGCACUUUCAGUGGGGAAGAAAGCCUUGGGGCUAAUACCCUCGAGGAAGGACAUCACCCACAGAAGAAGCACCGGCUAACUCCGUGCCAGCAGCCGCGGUAAUACGGAGGGUGCGAGCGUUAAUCGGAAUUACUGGGCGUAAAGCGCGCGUAGGCGGUCUGAUAAGCCGGUUGUGAAAGCCCCGGGCUCAACCUGGGAACGGCAUCCGGAACUGUCAGGCUAGAGUGCAGGAGAGGAAGGUAGAAUUCCCGGUGUAGCGGUGAAAUGCGUAGAGAUCGGGAGGAAUACCAGUGGCGAAGGCGGCCUUCUGGACUGACACUGACGCUGAGGUGCGAAAGCGUGGGUAGCAAACAGGAUUAGAUACCCGAGUAGUC